rnacentral:rRNA from 1 species
UACAGAGGUCCCAAGCGUUGUUCGGAUUCACUGGGCGUAAAGGGGUGCGUAGGCGGUGAGGUAAGUCGGAUGUGAAAUCUCCGAGCUCAACUCGGAAAUGGCAUUGGAAACUACCUCGCUAGAGAGUUGGAGGGGGGACUGGAAUACUUGGUGUAGCAGUGAAAUGCGUAGAUAUCAAGUGGAACACCAGUGGCGAAGGCGAGUCCCUGGACAACUUCUGACGCUGAGGCACGAAAGCUAGGGGAGCAAACAGG